UGGGGGAUAUUGCACAAUGGGCGAAAGCCUGAUGCAGCGACGCCGCGUGGGGGAUGAAGGCUUUCGGGUUGUAAACCUCUUUCGCUAUCGAACAAGGCCCGCUUAGGGUGGGUUGAGGGUAGGUGGAGAAGAAGCGCCGGCUAACUACGUGCCAGCAGCCGCGGUAAUACGUAGGGCGCGAGCGUUGUCCGGAAUUAUUGGGCGUAAAGGGCUUGUAGGCGGCUUGUUGCGCCUGCUGUGAAAACGCGUGGCUUAACUUCCCGCGUGCAGUCGGUACGGGCAGGCUUGAGUGUGGUAGGGGUGACUGGAAUUCCAGGUGUAGCGGUGGAAUGCGCAGAUAUCUGGAGGAACACCGAUGGCGAAGGCAGGUCACUGGGCCAUUACUGACGCUGAGGAGCGAAAGCAUGGGUAGCGAGCAGG
rnacentral:rRNA from 1 species